CUGCCCUCUCCCUGACCUCAUUGCCAGUAACCAGCAGGCACAGGAUAGUUGCCCCUACAGCAAGCCCUUACAGGUGAUGCAGAGUAACUUGUGGGUGGCUGGAGACCCCAAGGGCAGCCCCCAUCACACACAAGCAGUGGGUAGGAAGCGGUAGGAGACCCCGAGGGCAGCCCCCAUCACACAUAAGCGGUGGGUAGGAAGCUUGUGCAUGUUGGGGCCUCCAAAGCACAUCUAUACUCCAGCAAAAUUUUCCAUCCUGCACAGGAGGUGAUAACUGUUUGAGAGAAUACAGGGGAGCUCAGAAAAGUUGGGGAGUGGGUAAUGGGACAGUUGGGAAGCUGGGGAAAUCUGGAUCAGAGGGCAGCUGGGCUUUGUCCCCGCCAUCCUCAAGGUCGAUUGGAAUUCAUGUAGGAGUUGACUGGCCAACCCUGUUGCCACCUCCACAGCAGCCUCACAAUCCUGGCAUGGGCAUGCUACCCAGGAACAGGUAGCUCGGUGGGGUAUGUAACCCUCUGUGUUGCUGUCCAGCAGGGUAGAAAAGCGGAAGGUGACGGACCCUGUGGGAGUCCUGAAAGAGAAGUACCUGAGGCCGUCCUCACUACUGUUCCACCCCCAGAUGUCAGCCAUAGAAACCAUGACGGAGAAGCUGGAGAGCUUUGCAGCCAUGAAGGCCGACUCAGGCAGCUCCCUGCAGCCCCUGCCUCACCACCCCUUCAACUUCCGGUCCCCACCCCCAACGCUCUCGGAUCCCAUCCUCAGGAAGGGCAAGGAGAGAUACACUUGCAGGUAGGCUCCGGAUGAAGAGA
rnacentral:lncRNA from 1 species